UUGGAUUGCAAACCCAAACACGCCCCAUAUUUGGAGCCGGGGCUUCUCCCGUUU
rnacentral:tRNA from 1 species